rnacentral:rRNA from 1 species
UGGGGAAUAUUGGACAAUGGGCGAAAGCCUGAUCCAGCCAUGCCGCGUGUGUGAAGAAGGUCUUCGGAUUGUAAAGCACUUUAAGUUGGGAGGAAGGGCAUUAACCUAAUACGUUAGUGUUUUGACGUUACCGACAGAAUAAGCACCGGCUAACUUCGUACCAGCAGCCGCGGUAAUACGAAGGGUGCAAGCGUUAAUCGGAAUUACUGGGCGUAAAGCGCGCGUAGGUGGUUUGUUAAGUUGAAUGUGAAAGCCCCGGGCUCAACCUGGGAACUGCAUCCAAAACUGGCAAGCUAGAGUAUGGCAGAGGGUGGUGGAAUUUCCUGUGUAGCGGUGAAAUGCGUAGAUAUAGGAAGGAACACCAGUGGCGAAGGCGACCACCUGGGCUAAUACUGACACUGAGGUGCGAAAGCGUGGGGAGCAAACAGGAUUAGAUACCC